rnacentral:ncRNA from 1 species
AUUAGAACGUUGAAGAGAAGAGUAGCAUUACUCAGGACUUAAGAGACCCCUAGCUUGGUGAGAACGGGGAGCCUGAGCGGUGUGAAAGUAAUCUCCGAGAGUUGAAUGCGAGCAACGAGUGUUCAAUGGGUGCACCCAUUAUAGUGCCAAGGUAUCGCCACGAGUGUGGCCGUACCUGGUGAGGUAUAUUUCGUGAGGAGUAUACAAAUAUGAGGUGGUAACACGCGUAGCGUCCUUAUU